rnacentral:rRNA from 1 species
UACGGAGGAUGCAAGCGUUAUCCGGAUUUAUUGGGUUUAAAGGGUGCGCAGGCGGAUUGGUAAGUCAGUGGUGAAAGCCCCCGGCUCAACUGGGGAAAUGCCAUUGAUACUGUUAAUCUAGAGUACAGUUGAAGUGGGCGGAAUGUAGCAUGUAGCGGUGAAAUGCUUAGAUAUGCUACAGAACACCGAUUGCGAAGGCAGCUCACUAAGCUGAAACUGACGCUCAGGCACGAAAGCGUGGGGAGCAAACAGG